ensembl:lncRNA
CACCCGUGAAUUCGUGUGAAUUCUGCAAACUACAAACAGGCAUCCCUCAAAGAGCCUGAGAUAAUGCUGUGUUCUAAGUUUACUAUGCAGUGAGAAAAGAACAGAAGAGUGAAACACCUCAUGUGACUCUCAGGCGGCAGCAGAUCUGACAUCAAUGGACCAAGCAGCUUACACUUCAAGUUCAGAAGCUUCUGGGGGUCCUACUUGCUCAUAUCUCAUCUUUUACUCUCUGAUGAUGCUGAUCUUGUGGUGUUUCCUUCUGUUGACACACUUCCUCUGCCAUGUGCAUCCACAGGAGUGUGACACUAAGUUUCAAUAUAAAGACAAUAAUAGUGUACGAUGCUGCAAGAAAUGUCCACUAGGUCAACGCAUGAGGACGAGAUGUUCGAACCUUUCUGACACGGUCUGUACAAGUUGUCGUCGUGACUUAUACAUGGAUGAAUACAAUCAGGAACUAGAAUGCAAAAGGUGCUCUCAAUGCACCAAAGAACACAUGGUGUAUAAGAAGAACUGCUCUAGUGUCUCUGAUGCAGUGUGUGACUGUGAGAGUGGAUAUAAAUGCAACAGUAAACCCUGCACAGACUGUGUGAAAAUCCCAAUUAUGACAACAACAACAACAACACCAACAACAACAACAACAACAACAACAACAACAACCUCAAAAGUAAUUACUAAUGUCAUAAAAGAAGCAACAGCCUCCCAAGACACUGUGUGGAUCACUCUGAGUCUGUGUUGUGUGUGCAUUCUGCUUACCUGUUUCAUUCUCAUCAGCAGACACACACCUCCAUGUGGAUGGAUCAUGUUGGCUUCAGCUGGUUCUUUUGGGGGAUCCAAGAAACCUUCAGCCGAAUCUAGUCAGUGCACAGAGGAUGAGGAAGUGCCGAUGCCAGUCCAGGAGGUGUGUGAACAUAAGGAGUGGAAAGAAGAAGUCUGAGGGAGACAGAGGGAAGCGGCGAGACCGAGGCAGGAAAAGGCACAUAAGAGUGUGGAUUGACUAUGAACUGUAACAUGAAGAGAUGUGAAGUGAAGUGAAAUGGCUCAUGAAGAGAGGAGCAACAGACACACUCAUCCUGCACCUAAACUAAUGGGAUACUGAGAGAGAAAGGAAAGGAACAACACCACUUAUGUCCACUGUAUAGCACAAUUCAACUACUUAAUGCGCCAAUGAAACAGGGCCAUAAUUCUAAAUCAAUAUCACAUUUUAAAAAAGGAGGUGGAAAAAGGAGUUCGGGUUACUGUCUGCAUGGAUUCUCCUCGUGUCCAUUUGUCUUUCCUCCAGUUUCUCAAUUCUCCUCCAACCUCCCAAAAAAAUAAAUGCAAUGGACUGGAGUACCAUCUAUGGUGUAUUCCUGCCUCACUCCCAGUGUUCCCACAAUAGGUUCUGGAUUUAUGGUUAUUGAAGAUGAACAAAUGUUUUUUUUUAAAUAGCUGCAUUCAUUUGUUUGUGCUAAUGGAUUGCUUUCAAAAAAUGCAAUCAUAUAAACAAAGGUGAAAAGCUCAGGCUUUGUUUUCCUUUUUUUUAUUUUGGAAAGCAUACUGUCUAUAGUUUAUAUGAUUUUUAUGGUUUAUUAUUGUUUAUAUAGAUAGUUGAUUCACUAGAUCAUAGAUUCAUUAGAUAUAUGUGUGAUUGUUAGUAGUUGGCCCAAGCAAAGGAAGUUGAGUACAAUCUUGGUAGGCAAAUUAAACACCUUGUUGCCAUCUUUAAAAUUGCAACAAAAAAAAAUUUAUUUAGGGGCCAAACAAAUUGUAGGCAUAAUAUUGCAGUUGUAUGUUGUUCUUUUGUUUUUUUUUUUGUUUUUUUAAAUCUCUGUGUAUCUCAGUAUUCAAAAGUUGCACAUGAAUGAAGGACUAAGGGACUCCAAGAAAUUUUGUCUAAAUUCACCUCUAAGGGGUGCUAUAUUUCACAAAUUAGUAAAACUGCUCAUAACCUCAACUUUAACAUCAAAUCAUGAUUUUUCUUUCUAUUGAUUGCCUUGGCGGUGUCGAAUGUUCUUGAUGUAACAAACAGGAAGUAUUUCUGUUUAAUGGGCUAAUUUGAGGGAAUUUUUGUCCACCAUUUUUGUAGAAUCAUCACAAACUUUUGGUCCAUCCAUAAAGUACAACAAAUUUGACAGAAAGUCACCAAACUGGAAGUGAGUCCAUUACUCAGGAACACUUUCAUGUAUUGACAACAAACAUAGCACAUGUGUUUAGCAAUAUGAUCUAAUGUUAGCAAACAAACUCAAUUAAUUAGUUAAUUUGCAACUUGGCAGGGCUACUGAAAACAGGAAGUGAAGCAAUAUCUCAGCAAUGGCUUAACAUAUUAAAUUUAUUAUAUUUCCUUGUACUAAGAAACUGCUGCCCUAGAAAGGUAAAAAGGUUGAACUAUUUAAAAUAAAUAUGAAACCACUAUUUAAAAUAAAGGAUUGUUUUUUAGUAAUAGAAUCCAUGAUGCUCUCAAUAUACACCAGUUCAGAAAAUUUAUACAAAAGUGUUCAGUAGUUUAGUAGUAGCCAAAUCAUUGUCAAUUAGGUUUUCUAGAAUGUUAUCCAUUGUAAAAUUGUACAAUAUAAACUGUAACGCUAUUAUCCCUGGUCCCUGCUAACUAGCUGUGUACAGAUGCCGUGUGUAUGUAUACUAUUCUAUAUUGUUUGAUUCCGAGCACCACAAGUUAUCCAUAUUUUAUACUGAGAAUUUUGUUUGUGGGGUUUUUGUUUGUUUGCUUGUUUGUUUGUUUUGGGGGAAAAUGCUAAAAUUAUAAAUGCAAUCUAAAUAGUGCAUUUCUAAAUUUGUACUUUGUAUAAAUUGUGUAAAUCUAUUUCUGCUUCAUUGCUACUAUGUGAAAUGAAAAAUAGCAUCUUGAUUUCUUCUUAUGAAUACAUAUUAUAUUGCAUACAGUACUUAGAGCAGCUGAUGUGUAAUAAUGAUGAAUGUUUAAGUUUAAUAAAAUACGGAGGGAAUAAAAGGCUUACCGAAGUCAUUUUUGUGGUGAAUCUGUGAAGCCAGUGUCUGAGGUUUUAGCAGUUUCUAUAUGUGGUCCAUGAGUUCAGGUGCUUAUAAAGCAUAGGUGACAGAUAUUGGUCUUGCCUUUGGUUUUAAG